GUCCUAGCCGUAAACGUUGGGUGCUAGGUGUGGGUGGACAUCGACCCCAUCCGUGCCGAAGCUAACGCAUUAAGCACCCCGCCUGGGGAGUACGGCCGCAAGGCUAAAACUCAAAGGAAUUGACGGGGGCCCGCACAAGCGGCGGAGCAUGCGGCUUAAUUCGAUGCGACGCGAAGAACCUUACCUGGGCUUGACAUGCAGGGUGAAACCCGUGAAAGCGGGUGCUCUACGGAGCCUGCACAGGUGGUGCAUGGCUGUCGU
rnacentral:rRNA from 1 species